UCAGGAAUAGUUCAAUCGGCAGAACGCAGCCCUCUGAAGGCUGAUGUUGGAGGUUCGACCCCUCCUUCCUGAUCCA
rnacentral:tRNA from 1 species